rnacentral:rRNA from 1 species
CAUGUCGUCGUAGGGGCGAUUCAUGAACACCCGAUCCCAUUCCGAACUCGGAAGUUAAGCCCUCCAGCGCCGAUGGUACUGCAGGGGUGACUCUGUGGGAGAGUAGGACAUCGCCGGGU